rnacentral:misc_RNA from 1 species
GAUUGAUGGUGCCUACAGU